CAGAUUUCUUCACGUCGCCACAUUGACAGGUCAAUGAAUGGCAGCUUAUUAUUUGCUGAAGAGUUGAUGGAAUGAUGGUGGAAGUGAAAGCCAAAGAACUUAGUAGUGGCCCAAACUUCACAGCUUCCCUGGGAUAGUACAACAACUGGAAGCAUUAACAUCCAUCUCCAUGAGAUUGAAAACUGAUGUUGUUGUGAUGCCAGGCAGCCCAUUGACAAGGGUAUCAACAAGCAAUUCAAAACAAAGAUCAGAACCCAGUAUCAGGAAUGGAUGGUGAAUGGUCAAUUUAUCUACCCUCCCUCAGGGAGGGAAGUGAUCUCCCAGCAAGGAACUGGUUUUGCAGUGGAUAAAUUGAGCAUGGAAGGAAAUUACAACAGAGUUGGUUGCACAAUCCUUCAAGUCCUAUAACAUUCUGAAAGCUCUCAAUGGAACUAAGGACAAAGCCAUAAGGGGAGAAGAAACAGGCAAUUGAGAGGGCAGUUUCUUCCACCGUUUGACCAGAAGUACACAGGCAUUGCAGAUCUCUCCUUGCCUCUCCUCAUUCAAUUGAAAGCAAC